rnacentral:lncRNA from 1 species
CCCUCUUCCAGGAGAUGCAAGCGUGAUGGUUAAAUGUGACAACUGAAGCUGGUCUGCUGAAGAUAAGGCUGCAGUCAGGAACUGGCUCCAGGCCCUGAGACAAGAAGAUUGAACUCUCUGAGACUCCCUUUCAGGACUACCACUUGCCAAUGCGGUACUUUGGUGCAAUUUGAAAGAGGUGCCCCAUCUAGGCACAUGCCUUGGAUGAAGAGCCCAAUGGAAGAAUUUCUCUGUAAACCAAUGCUGCUGGGAAGGAGAUUUCCAUCCCCGGGGAAACCUAAGUAAGGUCCACCAUGAGCGAGAGCUGGGCUCCGAGACUGCCUUAGGAGAGGGGGCCUGGUCAAUCGCUAUCCCUUUCAGGAUUCCCUAAAACCCUCUCACCCCAGGAGGAUUUAUACACCAGGGAAGGUCAGAUGUGAGGCGAAAUGGUCUCUGUGUUUUAGAAGCAGAUGGUUAGGUUUCCACUCAAGAAUUCUCGUGCUUAUGAAAAAAGAAUACUGAUAUGGUUUGGCUCUGUGUCCCCACCCAUAUCUCACCUUGAAUUGUAAUCAAAGGCAGGACCAGGUGGAGGUAAUUGAAUCAUGGGGGUGGUUUCCCUCAUGCUGUUCUCGUGAUAAUGAGUGAGUUCUCAUGAGAACUGAUGGCUUUAUAAGCAUCUGGCAUUCCCCCUACUGGCACUCAUUCUCUCUCCUGCUGCCCUGUGAAGAGGUGCCUUCCACCAUGAUUGUAAGUUUCCUGAGGCCUCCCCAGUCAUGCAGAACUGUGAGUCAAUUAAACCUCCUUUCUUUAUAAAUUACCCAGUCUCGAGCAUUUCUUUAUAGCAGCAUGAGAACAGACUAAUACAAAUAUCAUGAAUGGUAGCCCCUGACACACACACAUAUGUACUCCAUUACUCCACAAACCCAUACCCAUACUCGUGUACACACACUCAUGAACACAAACACACAUCCAUACCACACACUCACAGUGCACACCAAUACAGUGACACCAUGCACGAACUUCACACAUGCUCACAUCACAGCUCACACGGAUACUCCAUACACACAUUCAUGUCCCACACAGUCAUGGACAGGCAGGCCCACCACACUCAUCUCCCCUCAUACCCCCACCUGCACACAACUGUGAGAAGAAAAGAGCCAUCAGGAGCUGUCUCUCUCUGGCUGGUAGUGAAAAAAGAUUAGGGCUGCCCAAGAUUAAAC